rnacentral:rRNA from 1 species
GCCUACGGGGGGCAGCAGUGAGGAAUAUUGGUCAAUGGGCUUACGCCUGAACCAGCCAAGUCGCGUGAGGGAAGACUGCCCUAUGGGUUGUAAACCUCUUUUGUCAGGGAACAAAGGGAGCCACGCGUGGCGCUGUGAGUGUACCUGAAGAAUAAGCAUCGGCUAACUCCGUGCCAGCAGCCGCGGUAAUACGGAGGAUGCGAGCGUUAUCCGGAUUUAUUGGGUUUAAAGGGUGCGUAGGCGGUUUGUCAAGUCAGCGGUAAAAAUUCCGGGCUCAACCCGGUCCCGCCGUUGAAACUGGCGAA